rnacentral:rRNA from 1 species
CGGGUGAGUAACGCGUGAGGAACCUGCCUCAAAGAGGGGGACGACAGUUGGAAACGACUGCUAAUACCGCAUAAGCCCACGGCUCGGCAUCGAGCAGAGGGAAAAGGAGCAAUCCGCUUUGAGAUGGCCUCGCGUCCGAUUAGCUAGUUGGUGAGGUAACGGCCCACCAAGGCAACGAUCGGUAGCCGGACUGAGAGGUUGAACGGCCACAUUGGGACUGAGACACGGCCCAG